ensembl:lncRNA
CCCGGGCUGGCCCGGCUGCUGGGCGUCUCCUGGUCCCGGGGCGGGGGUCUGGGGAGGGCGCGGGCAAGUUCAGGCCUCCCUGGGGACCGGCUGUUCCAGUGCAGCCCCGGCUCCCAGCAGAGGGGGUGGGGUGAGGAGGACGCGGAAUCCUGGGCUCGCCAUAGCUUGGGGGCCUUGCAGUUCCUGGCCGCGCCUGCACGGCCUCCCCAGUGGCGCUCCCGGGGUGAAGGAAGGGUGAAAGGGUGAACCGGAGGGACGAGUGCCCAGGCCUGCCGCGUCUCCAGGAGCCUGCCACCGCUGCCUGCAGAGCAGACGGGACCUCGGCACGGGAAGUGCUCCGUGAGGAGGGUGCAAGCUGGCUGAUCUCUUCAGUCCUGAGAUGACCGAGCAAAUGACACUUAAGAGGGAACUCCCUAUGGGCUGAGAUUUGACCUGGUUGGAGACCUGGUGUUCUUCUAAAGUCCAAGCAACUCUUGGUGACAUUGGACAUUCCUCCUUCUGUUGGUACCACCAGCUUACUGGAUGGCGCACCAAACUGGAGAGCAGCAAGAGUGGACCUGUGUGGAGAGAGCUUUGGGCAUCUUGAUGCUUGAAAUCUGUCCCUGCCUCCAGCACAGAGACAGCGAAGUGAAAGCAGGGCUCAAGAAGUGAAGAGGCCAUGAUAGCCCACACAUGGACCACAUUGACCACGUUAUUUUCUUUCCAUAAGCUAAAAGGGCAUCUCUGAAUUCUCAAAAAAAAAAAAAGAAAACAUGUUCAUAUUUUCAAAAUUCUUCUAAUAUUUUAAACUGAGGUUUUAAAAAGGGAUAAAGAGCUUUCUGACAGUUCAGGCAUCAUAGACUGAAUUGGAAGACUUAGCCUACGGGGCUUGACAUUUGACUAUCUGGGCAGCAAUAGAGCUUGCACCCAGAUGAGAAGAAAAUGACAUGGUGGUUCAAAUAUGUUUUAUAGUCCUCCCCGCAUUGUGUAUAUAGAUCUUGGAUGCUGUAAGAACAAGGAUCUCGAGGGUGCAUGAAGACAAAUAAAGUGAGCAACAGCCAGUGGCUUCCAGUUGGCUGGCCUGUUUCAACUCAGGAAAAUAAAGGCAUUGGUAACUGAUUUGUUCUCCUCCUCAAACAAAAUAUUCAGAGGAAGAGUUUAAAUGAUGAGGAUCUAGUGGUAAACCAUGCAAAUAAAAAUCCCUGCCAUGGAGAGAUUCAAUUUUAAGAAUGCCCUAGGGAUCCCUUUGGGUGGAGAAUUUAAUUGCAUUUUCAGUUUCAAUGUCCACACCAUGGCCAGCACUGAACAGAGAGGACAAUUUUUGCAGUGUUACAGAACUUUAAGUCUCCUGGCUGUUUAUAUUCACUGGCCCCAUCCAAGGUCCUGUGUGGUAUUCUCAAGGAUUUGGGGUGUAGCUGAGGGUGGAGCACUGGCCCAGUCAGGGAGCAGCAUCCACAUCCUCUGUCUGUGGGUAAGGUCAGUGGGUACCCCGCACCCCCUCCUGUGUGCCAACCUCCAGAUGCACCUGCCCUGUGUGAGGCCUCCCUAAGUACCUGCAAUCCAGAUGGCACCAAGGAGCAGGUUUGGAACAGGAUGCUUGCCGCACCACUCUCUGCAUAGGACCCUCCAGACUAAGGCUCAGUUACAGACACCUGUGUCUUUCUCCCCCUCCCACAACACCAGACUGGGUGCUGGAGCAGCUGCUGAGGCAAUGGCCACGGGGUCAGCUGGAGAGCAAAGGUCUGGAAGCCCUGGGACUUUCUCAUGAAGCACUUUUGGAGCAAGAUACUGCUUCAGCAGUAAGUGCUGAAGCUAAAGGAAUAUUUUUCACUCCAUCACCAGCAAAUAAACAACGUCUAUCUACACGACUAGAGAAAGACAAAAUGUCUUCCUCUGUACAGAGAAUGGUAUUUUAAAGUUCUUCACAUAUGAGGAAGGAAGAAAAAGGAUGAAGUAAAAAAAAUAAAUUUAUAAAAGUGGGUACAAGAG